rnacentral:lncRNA from 1 species
UGAUUUUCUGUUACAGAACUGGGAUUAUUUAUUUAUUUCGGUACCAACGAAUCUAUUUUUCACUCAAUGGAGAUUUUCCAUUUUUGGCCCACAGCAAUAUCCGGAGAGAGAGAGAGAGAUUCCUGUAGAAUACAAGACAAGACUAUCACAAUGAGCUGAAAUGUUGGGUCUGUGAAAGUAAUGAGAAGCACAGUGGAAAUAAGUUUCUGAAGGAUGGAAGAGGCUGGAGGCUGGCUAGUGGGAGAAGGUUCCCAGACACGUGAGAGACCCAGCAACAGAUUAAAAUCAUCCUUACCUGACAAGAGGACUCAGUGAAUCAAUGUUGUGCAGGAAGCAUGGCACCAGCGUCUGCUUUGGGUGAGGACCUCCAGCUGCUUCCACUCAUGGUGGAAGGCAAAGGAAAACUGGCUGUGCAGAGAUCAUAUGGUGAGAGAGGAAGCAGGAAAGGAGAGGUGCCAGGUGCUUUUUAACAUCCAGCUCUGGUGGGAGCUAAUAGAGCGAGAACUCACUCGCCAUCCCCCAUCCUAGGGAGUGCAUUAAUCUGUUUAUAAGGGAUUUGCCCCCCAUGACCCAAAAACCUCCCAUUAAGUCCCAUCUCCAAUACUGGGGAUCAAAUUUCAACAUAAGAUUUGGAGGGGUAAAUAAACCAAAUUAUAACAGUUUAUUUCUUGAUUUUGU